rnacentral:rRNA from 1 species
UACGUAGGGUGCAAGCGUUUGUCCGGAAUUAUUGGGCGUAAAGAGCUCGUAGGCGGUUUGUCGCGUCUGCUGUGAAAACCCGAGGCUCAACCUCGGGCCUGCAGUGGGUACGGGGCAGACUAGAGUGCGGUAGGGGAGAUUGGAAUUCCUGGUGUAGCGGUGGAAUGCGUAGAUAUCUGGAGGAACACCGGUGGCGAAGGCGGCGAUCCUGGACCGGUAUUGACGCUGAGGCGCGAAAGCUAGGGGAGCAAACGGG